GACGAACGCUGGCGGCGUGCUUAACACAUGCAAGUCGAACGGAAAGGCCCUGCUUUUGUGGGGUGCUCGAGUGGCGAACGGGUGAGUAACACGUGAGUAACCUGCCCUUGACUUUGGGAUAACUUCAGGAAACUGGGGCUAAUACCGGAUAGGAGCUCCUGCUGCAUGGUGGGGGUUGGAACGUUUCGGCGGUUGGGGAUGGACUCGCGGCUCAUCAGCUUGUUGGUGGGGUAGUGGCUUACCAAGGCUUUGACGGGUAGCCGGCCUGAGAGGGUGACCGGCCACAUUGGGACUGAGAUACGGGCCAGACUCCUACGGGAGGCAGCAGUGGGGAAUAUUGCACCAUGGGCGGAAGCCUGAUGCAGCAACGCCGCGUGCGGGAUGACGGCCUUCGGGCUGUAAACCGCUUUCGCCUGUGACGAAGCGUGAGUGACGGUAAUGGGUAAAGAAGCACCGGCUAACUACGUG
rnacentral:rRNA from 1 species